UAAAGUGUUAGGGGGGGUUUUCCGCCCCCUUAGUGGUGCCAGCUAACGCAUUAAGCACUCCCGCCUGGGGGAGUACGACCGCAAGGUUUGAAACUCAAAGGGAAUUGACGGGGACCCGCACAAGCGGUGGAGCAUGUGGUUUAAUUCGAAAGCAACGCGAAGAACCCUUACCAAAUCUUGACAUCCUUUUGACAACUCUAGAGAUAGAGUCUUCCCCUUCGGGGGACAAAGUGACAGGUGGUGCAUGGUUGUCGUCAGCUCGUGUCGUGAGAUGUUGGGUUAAGUCCCGCAACGAGCGCAACCCUUAAGCUUAGUUGCCAGCAUUAAGUUGGGCACUCUAAGUUGACUGCCGGUGACAAACCGGAGGAAGGUGGGGAUGACGUCAAAUCAUCAUGCCCCUUAUGAUUUGGGCUACACACGUGCUACAAUGGACAAUACAAAGGGCAGCUAAACCGCGAGGUCAUGCAAAUCCCAUAAAGUUGUUCUCAGUUCGGAUUGUAGUCUGCAACUCGACUACAUGAAGCUGGAAUCGCUAGUAAUCGUAGAUCAGCAUGCUACGGUGAAUACGUUCCCGGGUCUGUACACAC
rnacentral:rRNA from 1 species